GGAAUUUGGACAUUGUUUCUCAUGCUAAGCAUAACAAAAUUGUGUUUUACCCCCUAAAACCAACGACAAAACACCAAAACUUGAUUUUCAACACACAUUUGGUCCAAAUGUUCAAAUAAUGUUCAGAAAAUAGACUUUCUUAAAAAACUAUCCAGCACAUUCACACUCUUCAAGAACUCAGCAGGGUUUAAAAGAUUGCACUUGCAGGAAUUUUAUUAUUAUAUUCAUUAUUAUUUUAUUUUAGGUUUGUGCUUUAAUCCAAAGUGUGUAAACUAAUGUAUGAUGGUAAGUGGGGGUUGGCCUACUCCACACCAGCAGUCUUGCCCACAACUCAGAGGUGAAUUUCUAAUAAACUCUUGCUGUUCUGCAUGAACUAUGAUCUAGAAAACGUCACAGGUUUUUGGAUUGUGGCCAAGACUGCACAAUCUUAAUUAAAAGACCUCUGAGAACACUUUUAAAAUAGAUCAAAAGAUGAUUGGAGAUGUCCUAAUUUUAAUCCUGGCUGGGUGUUUCGGUUUGGUCCUAUUUUUUGUCCUGCAGGCUCAGGUGAAUUAUAUUGUAUCUUUCUAAUGUGGUAGUAAGUGAGAGAACUGUAUCAAAUCAAGCACAUUUUCUACAUGUUUGUGUUGAUAAUGCAGCUUCUUUUUCACCUCCUUUCAUGUCUCCUGUUUCUCUGCUGUUUUUGAAAGAGGUUGUGAUAAAGAUUGAUGAGCUCCUCUUGUCUUUCCUCUCCAGGGAGGGAAGUCUCUGGCUUUCCCUGGUCCACAGCAGCAGAAAGGUUCAUACUCAUUGGUUCAGCCUGCUGUCAGUCGUCGCGGUAACGUCACUCUCCUCCUCCUCCUCCUCUGUGAUGGCCUUUCCCUGCCUCCUCAUCUCCUUGGUUCCAUCUCUGAGCUCUCCCACCGCGACAGGCGGUGGAGGGGCGGGGGGGUCAUGUGACGUGUUAAUGCCCAGAGAUUUUCUGCCAGGCUCCGUCUGCUCCCUCCCACCUCCCUCCCUGCUGUUGUGCUCUCUGCUUCCUCAGGAUCUAUUGUUAGUGGGUUGUGCUGAGAGCGGACUGUUGAGGGGUUUGUUUUGGUGGGGGGGGGGCUCUGUCAGCAGACAUGGCUGCAUCUCUGCCUGCCAGCAUGAGCCCGGUGGACCUGCUGGACAAGAACUGAGCCCCAUUCAGCUGCAGAAGCUUUCAGCAGCAGCAAAUCCCAAUCUGCAGUAAGUCACAAUCCAAGUUUACUCCUCACACAAGAGGUUCUGCAAAUGAAGAUGCUGCUGUUGGUUUAGUUUACCAAAAGUCUUAGACAAAAAAUAGCAUAUUUCAGUAAACGUAAGUAAAGAUUACUGGUUGAAUUUCCUGAGACUAUUGAGAUUUUCUAAGAUUUCUUUUGGUUUAGAUUCUAGAAGGACAUUGCCACAACUUUGUUUAUAGUUCUAAUUUUUUUGGGGUCGGGGAUCAUAUGGUUGACUCAUCCCCUCCCCUUGCUGAGUUUUUCUUAGUUGGAACUACAACUUUAAGUUUGGUUUCAGCAUCCAUGCAACCCAGAUUUUCUAGAACGAGCCCAAAAAACAGGUUCUGAGAUGGCCUGGCUCACAACAGCUUAGUCUACAGCUUCCAGUCUGGUUCUGUUCAUUGACUGUAUAUGGGAACUGGACUGAGUGACCCCUUUCCCCCUGCGUUCUAAAUAGGAAGCACUCACUAGCUCCAAGAAGCCAAAAUCUCAUGGACUUCUAUUGAGUCAUUCUGUUUGUCAGAUUAGCCUACUUUAAGGAUAAACUGUUUUAAAGUUUCAACUUUUCUGGUUCCUAAACUGCUUUAGUCUACCUUACAGUAGAUGUUGAAAUCCGAACUUUGUGUUUAGGUGGUGGGGGAAACAUGGCAGCUUCUUGAACAUUGCCAUUUUGGAGUUAGAAUUCAUCGAGACAGACAAACGAGGAAAGAGGGACCAAAUGGACCUCCUCUGCUAAUUCAGUAUUUUAUCUGUUACAAAGUUCUGCUUGGUUUGGCUCAUACAAGCCUGAUUUCUGUAGGGACGUGCGCUUGGACAUGAACGGAAAAGUCAUCACUGCUGCCGCCAGGAUCAGUCACUCCAAAAGUGCCAGUAUGGUAUCAGAGGAGUCUGCAGGUUCCCAGUCUUGGGUAAGCGCAAGAGCCCACUUACGCAUGCACAUACACAAAUGGGUAGAUAUAAAUACAUGAACAAAAAAAUGCAUUUUAGGAGGAACACACACACAGCUGCAGAGGUGCAUGCAUGCACAUUUGACAAUCAUCACCAUUAGGUGACAUUUUGAUGGUAGCAAUCUGAAAGUGAGGGAACAUCUAAAGCAGCUGUGAUGGGUCUUUGGUGUUUGUUGCUGCAGGUAUUUUCUGGAUCUAACAUCAGGUUCUUGAACCAUUCAUGGAUUAUUAUUAUUUUUUUUUUUUGGGGGGGGGGGGGUCAGGUUGGAAAGAUGAUGAAAAAAAGUUAUUCACAAAGAUGAAAGAGCUUUGUUGUAAAAUUCAGCAACAGAGUUCUGGUUUAAGUUCAGGCCCAGAGCUGUAUCCAGAGUUCUGUUCUGAACAAAUUGGAUUCUAAGACAACAAAUACCCCCCAAUGCUCUCAGCCCGCUUCUUUAAAUCAGAUCAACACAAAGUGUCCCGGGACAGCUUGGCUUUGUGCACGUGCGCGCACACACUGUGACAACCAGAGUUGAGAUCCAAGAAUGUGGGAGGUUCAGACCCCCUCAAACACACAAAACCCAGCAACCCUAGUUCUGUCUCAUAGAAUCCAUCCUUACAUGGCUUCUGUACAGUUCUUGCGCUGUAGGAAACCAGUUUUUAGCCCUUUUGCUUCUGGCUUCACAGACCUGUUUACCCAGCACAUCCGAUGUGGAACCUCCAUCUAUGAAGGUUAGUUCUUUUUUAGGGUUCAGGUCCAAAGAGGGCUUUUGAGUGCAGCAUCACAGACAGUUGGUCCAGACUCUUGUCCAUAGUCUAAGGCAAGUCUCUGUAUGGCCACAACAGGAGUUUGGUUCAUGUCCUGGCAGUAAAUUGACCCUGCCAUGCUCUUGGUUCAUGUGGUACUCUGGCAGGGAUGUUCUUUCUCACCAGUUCUGUUCACAAUUCUUAUGGACAGUUCUAGGGUCCACAAGAAGCCUGAUGGGAACUGGAGUAUUUGGUCCUACUAGUUUUUGAAGAGAAGGAAGUUUUGGAAUUUUGUUAAAUUCUUACUUGUAACCUGGCUGAAGUUAAGCAAUAGAGGAUGAAUGGAUGACAAACUUUGUUCUAUAGAGCAUUUCAACAACUACUGCUGAUCAAAGUGCUUUCAAAGAAAAUCAUAAUAAUUGAUACUUUAUAUAGUUAAACACUUAAAGAUGAAAUGACAAAUUAAAGCUAUUUAAACAUGACAUAUCUAUGAAGAAACAACACAGAAGGCCAAGAUUUUGAAAACUUUGGACAGGUCACUGAAAAAUAAAACCUCCCCCACUUAAAAUCUUGGGCAAAGGACCUCCAGCAGUGUUUUGUUAGCAGGGUUGACCAUUAACUGCCUUAAAAAGAUGNNNNNNNNNNUAAAUAAAUAAAUAAAUAAAUAAAUAAAUAAAUAAAUAAAUAAAUAAUGAAGUUGA
rnacentral:lncRNA from 1 species